AGCUCCACGAGCAUGUACGUAAGUUGUUGCAGUUAAAAAGCUCGUAGUUGGAUUUCAGACUGAGGCCGAGUGGUCUGCUCGAUACGAGUAUGCACUGCCGAGCCCGGUCUUCAACUGGUCAGCUUUGCAGUGUCCUUGAUCGGAUGCUGUAAAAUGCCAGUAAUUUUACUCUGAAAAAAUUAGAGUGCUCAAAGCAAGCCGAUUGUGCUUGAAUACUGUUGCAUGGAAUAAUAGAAUAGGACCUCGGUUCUAUUUUGUUGGUUUUCGGAGUCGAGGUAAUGAUUAAGAGGGACAGACGGGGGCAUUUGUAUUGCACUGUUAGAGGUGAAAUUCUUGGAUCGGUGCAAGACAAACAACUGCGAAAGCAUUUGCCAAGAAUGUUUUCAUUAAUCAAGAACGA
rnacentral:rRNA from 1 species